CCCCCCCGCCCUUUUUGGAUUACACACCGCUUACAUUCAGAGGUCACUUCCACAGAAAACCUGAACUACAAGGAGCUACCAUGGACAGAGACAAGUCCUACACCCAUACCCAGUCUCUUCACCAGGGUCAGGAGAAGAGACCUCAGCC